AGUUCUUCGCGUAGGAGGCAAGGUUGGGCACGCUGACCACCCGGCUGGGCACCUCCUCCAUCUUUUUUUUCUGUUUGUAUCAGAGGAAAGUUCUGUGAGUGCUACUACCAAAAGCAAGCGUUACGAAAACCUGGCACAUACAGUGGCCCGUGGAAAACAAAUACCACACAGAAUCUCCCUCGCCUGAUACAAACAGCGCCUGGGUGGUGCCUGCCGUGGACUAUUCCCUGUGGACACCAGCCCAUCAACGAGCUGCAGUGACAUGUAGGAGGACAGAAGCCUGCAGAGCGCGCUGCCGUGACACCGGCCACGGACUAAGAUCUGUGCUCUGCCAUGCACUCCUGCCGUGCUGUCCCUGCCUGGGACCCAGCUGGCCACGGACUGCAUCUGUGAGCCGUUAAACCUCUCUUUGAAGCUGUGGUGUCGGGUGAUCAGCCCAGCCCUGGGAAAAGCUGACUAAUACGCAGGGUAAGAAUCCCAAGUAUUCUUCGCAUCCAGAACUAAAACUCUACUGCAGAAAGUUGAAGAUUAAGGCAGAGAAAGAAAACCCCAGCUAUGCAGAAGACUCCACCUUCCCUCUCUUCUAUGCUUUUGCUUGAUGUUUGUACCAUAGAUAUUGCCUACCUGCACUUAGGCGGGGAGGGUAUUGAGACCCUGCUCCCGUUUCAGCAACGGUAACCACAUGGCUGGUUUGGGUUAUGUAUGCUCUCUUCCACUUUUUUCCCUUGUAUUAUUUUUAAAGCAUGUCAUAUUUCAUUGGUAAGAACCUCAGUAGGUGUUUCUAAGAAAUUAAGGGUGUUUUUUAAAAAAGCAUAACAACAAUGCCUUUCUCACACUUUGUGAGUAAUAAUUAUUACUUUGUAAGUAAUAAUUCCUUAUUAAUGUGAUCUAAUUUUACAUCAGUGGGUGUUGGAAGUAGCUUUGAUAAACUAGAAAACAAAUGCUCAUUUUUACUAGUAGAUCAAUAAGUCAUUAAAAAUUAGUUGAUUCUACAA